rnacentral:lncRNA from 1 species
GUGAAGUCCUUCUUCUGGCAGAAAAUGGGGAGUUCAGACACUUCCGUCAUGUUCGAGGAAGGCGGCCGAUGCUGGAGAUAUACACAGGAAUGAGACUCAGCUCUUGGCCUGGGGAGCUAGAGCAUGAAGAGCUACUUCCAAGCCAGAAAAUAUUUAAAAGUCAAAGCCAGGUGAAUAGAAUCAUAUUGUAAAGCCCAGUAAGGGAAAGACAAAGCCUGAAGUAUCAAAGAUUGGGAAGACACCACAACGGGGCUGGGAACUAGAGCAGAGGUGAGACGAAGGAUGGAAUCGCACACAUGAGGGUACAACUAGGCUGGAGCAGCAACCCAGCUCCUUGGCUGGGGCAGCCACCUUCAGUGCACGGGAGCCCGGGC